rnacentral:rRNA from 1 species
GACGAACGCUGGUGGCGUGCUUAACACAUGCAAGUCGAACGGUGAAGCCCAGCUUGCUGGGUGGAUCAGUGGCGAACGGGUGAGUAACACGUGAGCAACCUGCCCCCUACUUCGGGAUAAGCCUUGGAAACGAGGUCUAAUACCGGAUAUGAGCACCCCACCGCAUGGUGGGUGUUGGAAAGUUUUUCGGUGGGGGAUGG